UUCAUUGUGUGACGUGAAGGGUGAAGGCGGAAAAAACCUUGCGAGAAGCCAAGUCAUUUCGCGAUUCCGUUUACUGAAUCUUUGGUUAUUUCACAGCCCCAGCCGGGAUACUUUAAAACCAGGUGAUAGACUUGUGAACAAUCAAGCGAGCGAGAUGAUGACGAAAUCACAAGGCAAAUUCACGUAAACUAUAUCAAGAUGACGUAACUUCUACCAGUGCGUCUGGGAGCAAGUGAAGUGUGCCUGUUCGCGAAGGUACGAGGAUUCUGGUGAUUACGGGGGGGGUCUGACUCAUAUAUAUGCCACCAAAAAAGACAUCUAAGGAUAUAACAAGGCCGACCAAUGAGGAGUCAGAGACAGAAGAAAGAAAACAAAUAACACAGGAAUACCAAGUCUCUGGAUUUAAUCACAUUCUGGGUGUUGCGCUGAGCGUGCUAAGACUGCUGGGAUACUCUGCUCUAGGAAUUUGGGGACUAGUGUCUUACAUAGGAUCCUUUCUUUUGAACACGUUUAUGGGUAUUCUUGGUGUUAUAGAGGCUGUCUUUGACCUUGCCAAUCAGAUAAUUCGUGUGGUCAAAUUAUGUGUUAAACUGUUUUUCGACGUUUACGAUUUGCUCAGAUACAUAGUACACACGCUUACAUUCCCAGGGACUGUAAUACUUUUGCAAUGCGGUCUGACAUACAUUUGUGUGCAAACAGACGGAAACUCGGUGGAUAAAGUUUCGGACGCGCUGGGUUUAAGACCAGGCUAUAUCCAUUCGAUUAUGUACACGAACUGGAUGGUAAUUGCAUUGGUAAUAGCGGUUGCUGGUUACCUGAAAAUACUCCCAAGAAUUCAAACCAUAAAACAAAGAAUAUAACUCAGUUUUAGUCGUUGUUUUUGUGACAACGAUGGCGGGGAUAACAAAUUAUUUAAUAUGUUUUAGAUGAAGACAGGAAGAAAGAUGAAAUGUGGUUAAUAAAACAAAAAAGCUUCUGAAAACCUUUUAUUGUCAAUAAAGUAUCUGAAUAAUCUGUUGCAAAGGCUGUGUGUUUAAAGUGCGCACAUAAAAACACAAACAACGCAUAGUUGUGUGUGUGGUUCGCAUGAUUAUUUGGUAAAAGUGCGACUGACGUACGCAGUAAGCAUGGAAGAUCGACUGAAUCCAGACUGAAUACCAUAGCAUUUUUUUCAUGUGUUAUACCCUAUGCAAUGGAAUGCGAUGAGCUGUUUUGUUAUGUAACACAACGCAUAUCGCAAGAUGUAGUUCUCUAACGUCAGUAUUGAAGUCAGCGAUUGCGCAAGAAAUAGUUCUCUAACGUCAUAUUGAAGUCAGCAAUUGUGUCACUCUAUUUGAGUUAUGGAAUUUCAGGAGUAGGAGGUAGAGUCAUCGUGCGUGGCUUGGAGACCAGGUGUGCUCUUGGCUUCGACCGCGUCUCGGAUUUGAAUUGUUCCUAGAGUCCUUCGAGGUUAUUUCGGGAAGGGCUUCUGAUUAGUAACUGGAAUGUCCUCAUUACUAAAAAAAAAAAAUCGGAAAGAAUUAUUAAGCGAUACAAAAAAAAAUGUCUUUAUCAACUUUUAACGAAUGCUGCUCUCGCUUUAAGCCGGUGUUUCUCGCUAUGAAUCGGCGAUGAGUUGAGUAGCACUGCAUGACACGUUUGGGAUACAAACUCUGUAGAAUCCAAGGGCGUAACGCAAUACAAAAGGGCCCAUGCGCUUUGCGCAAAAGAGAUUAUAGCGGCACCGUGCGCCUUGAGAAAAUGAUGGAGCAAAUAUUACUCCCUAUCCCUAGCGCGCGCCUCGCCUCUGCAUCUCUUCUUUACCAACUCUUUGAGGCUUGCUGGGCGAAUUGGAGGAAUUUCGCAUUUCGUAAUCUCACCUAGCGGCCGCAGACUGUAACCACGCAAUAACGUUGUUGACGAGGUUCAUGACCAAGUUUGAAGCGAUGACCGCGUAUUCCUGGACAACAGCAACGACAUCCGGGAACCUCUCAACUAUCUUCUGGCCCAGGCUCUCCAGCGACGCGGCCACUGAGUUAAAGAAGUCUGGGGCGAGUAGGUAGAUUUUAUGCGCGAGGUCUAACACUAGUGCCUGUAUAUUAGCAAUGAGUGGCGGCACGUGCUCGUGUAGGAACGCCCAGACGAUCAUGAGAUAGUACCGCGUGGGCGGCCACACCACAUUCCACCAGUGCAUCACGUGACUGUGCACUAUCGCCCAGUACACCGGGGCCUCCUUUUCGACCUGAGGGAAGCAAGAGUUUAGUAUUCAUUUCAGGGGCAGUGGAAUUGUGUAGGUGGAUAAAGUGUGCAGGGGAGUAAAAGAAGCGAGGGGGAGACAUGAAAAUUGGGGAUCGGUGCAUUCAUUCAUUUCCCACUUUCGCCCAUACCCAUCACCUUUUUUCAUAGCGACAACGCGACAUGUCUGUGUGUAUGCUUUGUGUCCACAGACUUUGUAUUUCAUUAAUCAAUUGGCCGAUGGUCUAAGCCGGGAGGGGUGUCGCCGUGCUACCCAAAAGGUAUGGCUUGGUGGGUAGCUUGAGGUAUUAUUAUCAGGAUAAUGGUGUGUAUCAAAGGGUAGGCGUAUACCCUUUCUAGAAGCUCUGGUACUUUCUUGUUCAGGUAGGCACGCGCUGGUCUGGACUGCUCCUCGAUGAACUGUCCUGCUAGGGUAAGCUUGUCCAUGGCGUAUUGUCCGGCUGGGUCCGCGUACUCGCGAAACUUGCUGUAGUAAGUGGGGUAGUUCUCUUGCACCCAACUGUUAAUAACAAACGACCAUUGAAAAUACGGCUCGAACUUAGUAAAGUUUUUAGAAUAUUGGACAAUCAGGGUACGAGGAAGGUGUAAUUUCAUAAUUGACAAGAAUUGCACUAGCCAAACAGCGUGAUAAAGAAUUACUCUUAGCCAAUCUGUGUGACAAAGCGUCCUUUUGGCAUAGAGUAGCAAGGAAUUACAUUAGCCAAUCAGCCUGACACAGAUAUGUCCUGAUCCGCAUAUAUUUACACGUGGUUGACAGGAUGUAGCAAUAGGAAGGUUUGACUAUUUCCCUUAUCGAAGGCGUGUUUAGCGUGACUGACGAAUGGGAAGGUUUACCUAUUUCCCUUAUCGAAGGCGUGUUUAGCGUGACUGACCAAUGGGAAGGUUUACCUAUUUCCCUUAUCGAAGGCGUGUUUAGCGUGACUGACCAAUGGGAAGGUUUAUCUAUUUCACUUAUCGAAGGCGUGUUUAGCGUGACUGACCAAUGGGAAGGUUUACCUAUUUCCCUUAUCGAAGGCGUGUUUAGUGUGACUGACCAAUGGGAAGGUUUACCUAUUUCCCUUAUCGAAGGCGUGUUUAGCGUGACUGACCAAUGGAAGGUUUACCUAUUUCCCUUAUCGAAGGCGUGUUUAGCGUGACUGACCAAUGGGAAGGUUUACCUAUUUCCCUUAUCGAAGGCGUGUUUAGCGUGACUGACCAAUGGAAAGGUUUACCUAUUUCCCUUAUCGAAGGCGUGUUUAGCGUGACUGACCAAUGGAAGGUUUACCUAUUUCCCUUAUCGAAGGCGUGUUUAGCGUGACUGACCAAUGGAAAGGUUUACCUAUUUCCCUUAUCGAAGGCGUGUUUAGCGUGACUGACCAAUGGAAGGUUUACCUAUUUCCCUUAUCGAAGGCGUGUUUAGCGUGACUGACCAAUGGAAAGGUUUACCUAUUUCCCUUAUCGAAGGCGUGUUUAGCGUGACUGACCAAUGGGAAGGUUUACCUAUUUCCCUUAUCGAAGGCGUGUUAAGCGUGACUGACCAAUGGGAAGGUUUGACUAUUUCCCUUAUCGAAGGCGUGUUUAGCGUGACUGACCAAUGGGAAGGUUUACCUAUUUCCCUUAUCGAAGGCGUGUUUAGCGUGACUGACCAAUGGAAAGGUUUACCUAUUUCCCUUAUCGAAGGCGUGUUUAGUGUGACUGACCAAUGGGAAGGUUUACCUAUUUCCCCUUAUCGAAGGCGUGUUUAGCGUGACUGACCAAUGGAAAGGUUUACCUAUUUCCCUUAUCGAAGGCGUGUUUAGCGUGACUGACCAAUGGAAGGUUUACCUAUUUCCCUUAUCGAAGGCGUGUUUAGCGUGACUGACCAAUGGGAAGGUUUACCUAUUUCCCUUAUCGAAGGCGUGUUUAGCGUGACUGACCAAUGGAAAGGUUUACCUAUUUCCCUUAUCGAAGGCGUGUUUAGCGUGACUGACCAAUGGAAGGUUUACCUAUUUCCCUUAUCGAAGGCGUGUUUAGCGUGACUGACCAAUGGAAAGGUUUACCUAUUUCCCUUAUCGAAGGCGUGUUUAGCGUGACUGACCAAUGGAAGGUUUACCUAUUUCCCUUAUCGAAGGCGUGUUUAGCGUGACUGACCAAUGGAAAGGUUUACCUAUUUCCCUUAUCGAAGGCGUGUUUAGCGUGACUGACCAAUGGGAAGGUUUACCUAUUUCCCUUAUCGAAGGCGUGUUAAGCGUGACUGACCAAUGGGAAGGUUUGACUAUUUCCCUUAUCGAAGGCGUGUUUAGCGUGACUGACCAAUGGGAAGGUUUACCUAUUUCCCUUAUCGAAGGCGUGUUUAGCGUGACUGACCAAUGGGAAGGUUUACCUAUUUCCCUUAUCGGAGGCGUGUUUAGCGUGACUGACCAAUGGGAAGGUUUACCUAUUUCCCUUAUCGAAGGCGUGUUUGACAUGACCAUAGGCUUUGAUUGUUCCCUGUUCGAUUCCAUACUCUUGAGCGAAGCGCGCCGUCUUGCUGCCUAGUACAUAGAGAAAGCAAACAUUGGACAAUCGGGGUACGGGACAAUCGGGGUAGUCCAAACAUUUAGAACAUUGGACAAUCGAUUAGAACUGUGGAUACUUCCCUGGGACAAUCUAUUCAACAUUUUUCUUUCACUUUAUCUCCCUUUUUUCCCGACCCUCUGGCCCCUUGUCUCGUUGCCAAAGGCAGAUAAUUUUUUCCAGGAUUUAUGCCUCCCUUAUAUACCCUUAUAUAUGGUUGGUCCCUAAAUAACAUGGGCACGGAAGGCUCUAAGCUUCACUCACUCACACAAACGACGACAGACGGCCAAAGACGGUUUGAGUAAAAGAGUGAAUUUUGAAGCUUUUUGCACCCAUGGUAUUAAACACAUAGACCCCUGGCGAGCCCCCUGUGUUGUUACCUUGGUAACCGCCAUGCCUGCACACGUCAUACGAGACAGCGGCGAUCAAGAGGAGCAUGAGCAGCUUGAGGAGACAGCGGACCGAAAAGCAUGAUGACUGCUGGCUUUUCUCCUCCACAACCUAAAA